AUUGAACGCUGGCGGCAGGCUUAACACAUGCAAGUCGAACGAGUGGCGGACGGGUGAGUAAUGCUUGGGGAGCUGCCCGAUAGAGGGGGAUAACUACUGGAAACGGUGGCUAAUACCGCAUACUAUCGGAUGAACCCAUAUGGGAUUAGCUAGUAGGUGGGGUAAAGGCUCACCUAGGAGACGAUCUCUAGCUGGUCUGAGAGGAUGAUCAGCCACACUGGGACUGGGGCACGGCCCAGACUCCUACGGUAGGCAGCAGUGGGGAAUAUUGCACUAUGGGCGCAGGCCUGAUGCAGCCAUGCCGCGUGUAUGAAGAGGGCCUUAGGGUUGUAAAGUACUUUCAGCGGGGAGGCGUUACCCGCAGAAGAAGCACCGGCUAACUCCGUGCCAGCCGCCGCGGUAAUAC
rnacentral:rRNA from 1 species